UACGGAGGGGGCAAGCGUUAUUCGGAAUCAUUGGGCGUAAAGGGCGCGUAGGCGGCUUCAUAAGUCUUGGGUGAAAGCCCUCGGCUCAACCGAGGAAUUGCCUUGGAUACUGUGAAGCUCGAGGCUGGAAGAGGGCAGUGGAAUUCCCGGUGUAGCGGUGAAAUGCGUAGAUAUCAGGAGGAACACCGGCGGCGAAGGCGGCACUCUGGGCCGGUACUGACGCUGAGGAGCGAAAGCGUGGGUAGCAAACAGG
rnacentral:rRNA from 1 species